GCCAUGCUGGUGUUCUGGUAUGCUGGGCUUCGGGUGGGAAAUCUAACACAGGAACACAGGCAGAACAAGGUUGCCUGUCCAUAGUCACUAGAGCCUGCUGGGAAACACACAGACCCGUCUUUGGGGGAUGAAACUUCAAGGUGGACUCUGGUCAAGGCAAGAGGAAGAGAACCCAACAGCUCAGCUCUGGGGGCUUCAAAGGACACCACCAGGAAGGGGUGCUGUGCACAGGCGGCCUACGGAGAACGAGAGCUGUGGCCCGACAGGUCUUUGCAUGAAACAUACUUCUCUGUGUACACUUCAAGAGCCACGUCGUCGGCUGUGCUAUGAAGUCAGGAGUCAUCGCACACACUGGGGGCGCCUUCCUCUCCACUUCUAUGAUGCUUCCUCCCUGUCACAGCCCAGGAGAACCCAGGGAAGAGCAGCAGACCGGCAAACCCCCAGUGAGAGGCCGGAGCAGGAAGAAGCCCAGGAAGGGAGAGGGAGGUGCACACAGUGGGGAUGAGCUGCCAACUGCGCCUCUGAUUUUCUCGGCCGGAGGAUGAGACUGAGUGUAGCCAUGCCUACCUGCUUUCUGUCACAGUGGCCCUCCGAAGCCAGGCAGAGCAGCAGGCACACGGGAGCAGGCUCCAUCUAGGAGCUGGGGCAGUCCAGGAACUUCGGCUGCCACAGAUACACCCGUCCAAUCACAGUCAGUGGCAGAGCACUUAUUAAACGCCCCUUGGCUGUGAUUCCAUUCUGGGCACCCCAGCUCCUCGUUGGGAGUUUUGGCGGGGGAGCAUCCGCUUUGAGGCAGGUGAGUGUCACCUCCCUGUCUCCCCGUUGUUGUGUGGGCGGAGCACACCAGGGCCUCUAAUCCCCAAGGAUGGAAUUAAACGUGCUUCAACCCCA